AUUGAACGCUGGCGGCAGGCCUAACACAUGCAAGUCGAGCGGUAGAGAGAAGCUUGCUUCUCUUGAGAGCGGCGGACGGGUGAGUAAUGCCUAGGAAUCUGCCUGGUAGUGGGGGAUAACGUUCGGAAACGGGCGCUAAUACCGCAUACGUCCUACGGGAGAAAGCAGGGGACCUUCGGGCCUUGCGCUAUCAGAUGAGCCUAGGUCGGAUUAGCUAGUUGGUGAGGUAAUGGCUCACCAAGGCGACGAUCCGUAACUGGUCUGAGAGGGUGAUCAGUCACACUGGAACUGAGACACGGUCCAGACUCCUACGGGAGGCAGCAGUGGGGAAUAUUGGACAAUGGGCGAAAGCCUGAUCCAGCCAUGCCGCGUGUGUGAAGAAGGUCUUCGGAUUGUAAAGCACUUUAAGUUGGGAGGAAGGGCAGUUACCUAAUACGUGAUUGUUUUGACGUUACCGACAGAAUAAGCACCGGCUAACUCUGUGCCAGCAG
rnacentral:rRNA from 1 species